rnacentral:misc_RNA from 1 species
GCGCCAGUCAGUGGUGGUCAGUGGUUGUCGACGAUGAGUUGGUGAUGCGCGUUGUGCGGGGCGAAAAGCGAAUGAUUGGCCGUUGAGAUAGGUAGCGAACGAUAGCCAGCCAUCAUGAGGUGCAUCUUGUGCAUCGUUGCAGUACUUGCGCUGCACACGUCGGCCAUAAUCCAGUCACCGCCGCGGAUAUCGAAACAGCCGCCGACCGAUGAACAACUGUUCCAAGUCGCCCAGGCGAAAGUAAACGAGAACGACAAGCCAUUUUUGAUCGAAUGCGAGGCCGAAGGUGAACCUGCUCCCAGGUACCGAUGGAUUAAAAACGGAAAGGACUUCGAAUGGCCCGCUUACGACGAUCGCAUUUCCCAGCAGCCUGGAAGAGGAACCCUUGUCAUAUCGAAGCCGCGAGACGAAGACCUGGGUCAGUAUCAAUGCUUCGCAGAAAAUGAGUGGGGAAUCGCUACCUCGAAUUCGGUGUUCGUGAGGAAGACGGAGCUGAACUCCUUCAAGGACGAGAGCCCUAAGACCCUGAGCGCCGAUGAGGGGGAGCCCUUCAAGCUGACUUGUCAACCUCCGGAUGGCUGGCCUAAGCCGAACGUCUAUUGGUUCAUUCAGGACACUUUGGGAGGCAUCAAGUCGAUUAACAAUUCCAGGAUGACGUUGGAUCCGGAAGGGAACCUCUGGUUCAGCAACGUCACCAGGAACGACGCGUCCGAUGAUUUUUAUUACGCUUGCGCAGCUUCCUCAGUCUUCAGGAACGAGUACAAAGUGGGAAACCGCGUGUUGCUUCAUGUCAUUUCUACGGGCGCUUCUGCUAGCCAGAAUAAACACGCCCCGGUAAGGCAAUACACCAGCAGGAAAAACGAGGUCGCAUUGAGAGGGAAGAAGGUGGAGUUAUAUUGCAUAUACGGCGGGACCCCUUUGCCUCAGAUAGUCUGGAGCAAGAACGGCAAUCAACUCAGGCCUAACGAUAGGAUAACCCAAGGCAACUAUGGAAAGUCCCUGAUCAUAAAGCAUGUUAAUUUCGAGGACGAGGGUACAUAUAGUUGCGAGGCAUCGAACGGCGUCGGCGAUGCUCAGUCGUAUUCGAUUAAAUUACAAGUUAUGGCGGUGCCAUAUUUCACGGUUGAGCCGGAAAUCGUGAAUGCGGCUGAGGACGAGAUGGCGGAAUUUAGAUGCGAGGCCAGUGGAGUACCGGAGCCGCAGAUUAAAUGGAUACACAAUGGCAAGCCUAUAUCCGAGGCGCCGCCUAAUCCCAGAAGGAAGGUCACGGGCAACUCGAUCAUCAUCGAGAAACUGACGAAAAAUGACACCGGGAAUUACGGCUGUAACGCUACCAAUUCUUUGGGAUACGUUUACAAGGAUGUUUAUGUUAACGUCUUGGCACUGGAGCCUGAAAUUACGGAACCACCCUUUGACGAAGCUACCGUCGACGGUAAGACGAUCAGGAUGACCUGUCGCGUCUUCGGUGCACCCAAACCUGAGGUCAAAUGGGUCAGGAACGGCCAGGAAUUAACUGGGGGUCGGUACAAGAUUCUGGAGUCCGGGGACCUGGAGAUCGAGAAUGUCAUUUUCUUGGAUUCCGGAACGUAUACUUGCCAUGCAGCUAAUAAAUUUGGCGAAGUGGAAGCCACGGGUAAUCUGGUGGUCAGAGAACGAACGAGAAUAACGGAUGCACCGGAGGAUUACGAAGUAACAGCGGGGUCGACGGCAACUUUUAGAUGCAAUGCCGUAACCGAUUCGACUCUGCCUUUGACGAUCGACUGGCUAGCUAACGGCGAGCCUAUAGAUUUUGAGAUGGAGCCAAGAUUUGUACAAACCACUGACUCGUCAUUGUUGAUUACAAAAACGACGGAGCUCGAUUCUGGAAUUUAUACUUGUGUAGCGCAUACCGAUUUGGAUGAAACGAAAGCACAGGCUACCCUGACGGUUCAAGAUGUACCAAAUGCUCCGCAAUUGCUUAGCGUCAAGUGCAUGUCCACGGAAGCCUUGGUUCAGUGGACACCGAUGGGGGAUAACAGAGCACCCAUCCUUCGGUACACUAUUCAGUGCAAUACUAGUUUUACUCCCGACACUUGGGAAGUAGCCAAAGAUGAUGUGCCUGCUACCGAACAAAACUAUAUCAUACCGAUGACACCUUGGGCCAACUAUACCUUCCGAGUGGUAGCAUUUAAUAAAGUUGGUCCGUCUUUACCUUCCUCGCAUAGUGAAGUGUGUACCACUCAACCUGAUGUACCAUAUAGAAACCCACAUAAUGUCGCGGGUCGAGGAACGGAUCCUCAAAAUAUCGUCAUUACAUGGACCUCGAUGCCUCAAAUAGAGCAUAAUGCUCCCAGACUCACGUACAGGGUAUACUACAAACGGGAUAUCCCUGGAGAAAAAUGGACAAUAGAGGAUAUUCAUGAUUGGAAAAUCGAUAGACUUCAAGUUGACAAUCAACCUACUUACCAAAGAUACAGGAUUAAAGUUGGCGCAAUUAACGAGAAGGGAGAAUGUAGGACACACCCAGAUGAGGUGAUCGGAUACUCUGGAGAAGAUGUCCCCCUGCAAGCUCCUACAAACUUUACGUUGAUUCGAGUGCGGUCAAGCACCAGUGCUUUAGUCUCCUGGAACCCCGUACCCGAGGAAUCGGUACGUGGUGAAUUACGUGGGUAUAAAAUUCAAACGUGGACGGACCGUGAUGGUGAAGAGGGAAUGCGAGAGAUUAAUGUGCGGGACGGCAAUAGAACUCACGCCUUGAUCUCUAAACUUAUUCCGUAUAGCAAAAAUUACGUGCGGGUCCUCGCUUACAAUGGAAGAUAUAACGGCCCACCAUCGGAGGUUUUGAGUUUCGAAACGCCGGAAGGUGUGCCAGGCACGGUCCUCAGUUUAGAGGCCUUUCCAAUCGCGUCAAGUGCUCUCUUCUUGGUCUGGACGAAACCUUCAGAGCCGAACGGUAUUCUCACUGGUUACCAGAUUUCUUAUCAAGUAGUAAACGGUACCAGACUGGGACAAGAAUUAGAGAGAGAGCCGCACGUUUCUAAUCCCGAAGCAACGAGUGCUAAGUUAGCCGGCUUGGCGCCAGAUACGAAGUACCGCGUGCACAUUCGAGCGACUACAAGAGCUGGCGAUGGGAAAGAUUACUUUAUCGAGCAAAAAACCAGGAUCGCUCAGCCUCCGGAUGUGCCGCAGUUUACGUGGGAACGAAUUUUAACGGAAAAUGGUUUAACAACUGUAAGGGUCACUUGGCAGCCAAACUUAAAUGGCAAUCCGGGCAGUCACUUCUUCGCCAAAUAUAAGUUGAAGGGAGAAACUGUCGCUAGGCAAACCGACCCAGAAUUCAUCUCGAAUACAAUCGACAUCCGGGGCCUGCAAAGUGGAGAACUGUACGUUGUAACCAUUGUCGCCGUCGAUGGCGACUAUGUGACGGAGAGUGCACCACAAGAAAUCGAAACUAGCAGCGAUGGACCUAUUAUUCAGCCUAAAGAGAAUGUUGCCACUGCCGGAUGGUUCAUCGGAAUGAUGUUGGCAAUUGCUUUCCUCUUGCUGGUAUUGAUCAUCGUUUGCGUGAUCAAACGUAACCGAGGAGGAAAGUAUGCCGUCCACGAAAGAGAGCUAGCAGCUGGUCGAGGUGACUACCCCGAUGAAGGCGGUUUCCAUGAAUAUUCGCAGCCCUUGGAUAAUAAAUCUGCCGGAGGUCGAGCUUCUUUAGCUUCUUCAUCUCACCAGGAUGGGAAACAUCCCGAAUCCGACACGGACUCGAUGGCUGAAUACGGAGAAGGAGAUACCGGUCGUUUCACGGAGGACGGCUCUUUCAUCGGACAAUACGGCCCCAAGGGCAGACCGGAGGAGACGCCGCCUAUUCCAACGGGUACAAUGGCCACAUACGUUUAACUGUCGCAAAUUGUACCAGCUAAAACGUCGCGUCCGAAUCUCCUACUCGACACGCCGGGGAUGUCUGAGGCCUCGGCUGCCUCGACAGCUGCUAUGCACCUUGCGCUGGGCGCAAUGUCCACACUCUACUGCCAGUUAGAUAUUUCUUGGUUUUGGGUUUUAUAGGUCACCCGUGAAAGGAACUGAUUUUUCAAUCAUAUAUGUAUGUAUGAUGAAUCGCUUUUGGGGCUGCAUUUAUACCGGGGCUAUGACGCAACGAGGUCUCGGCGUUCGCUGGUUUGUUCGCUGAUUGCUAACGCGCGGUGCUAAUGAAGACUUUUAUCGGAAGGGAAAGAGUAAAAUGUAUAAAUUCUAAAUUUGCGCGGAUUGUUUCAGAGAUUUAUAUUGAUUGGUUAGUACGUACCGUCGAGGAGGGGGAGAUUCGGUUGGUGUUGCAAUUGAAGUACUUAUUUCUUCGCCCGAUGAUAAUGAGUUAUUGGUUUGAGAUACUCUUCGUGUAUGUAUCGAUAAAGGCAGAGGGAGUCAUUAUCAUCGAAUAGUGAAACGAAAGUAGGGGCGAAUAUGAUAUAUUCGUUGGAUCGUCUUGUAGUGGUAGGGUUCGACGUGAGGGAAAUAUAAAUGCAGACUUAAAGGCAUGUUAGCAAAGCGAUGGCGAGCGAAGGCAGGAAAACCGCAGUCUGGCCUGAACUGACCGUAAUUUUAACACUUUUCGAGGGAGUCAAUAUCUAGAUUUCCUAGGUCUCUAGACGUUUUAGGGGGAUCUAGUUGUCAGAGUUUUUCACAGAACAUGAGCAGCGGCCCAAACUCGAGGAAUCUCGGACGUUUAUAAUUAGUCGGAAGUGACGGUGGCGUUUAAAGAUAUAAGUUAUUGUAAAUGCACUAUACAGUAGUUUAAAAGGAAGAACACAAGGCCUCUAAUCGUUGCUUUUUGUAUGUGAGACACGCUUUUGCCUGAGGAAGGAAAAUGAAAAGACGAGUGGAGUUUCCUUUAUUUUUACGAACGUUUUACCAUAGUUCUCUCUCCGACUUUUCCUUUUCUAAGUCUAGCGUACUCUAGCGAGCGUAGGAUAUAACGCGACAUAUGAUUAUUUAAUAUAUAUUGAAGCAUUGAAUAUAUAGAGAUACUAUAUAUGAAUUAUUGACAUACGUUAGAGAGUUUCGAAGGAAGACGAUGAUCACAGGAGGGCGCAGCUAUAUUAUAUUAUAUUAUAUUAUAUUAUAUUACGUGGCAUUAAUUAUUAUCUCAUCAGGGUGAUUUUUCAAUCUCUAGUGUACCGGGUGUUCGCCGAAAACUCGAGGCUCACUGACGUUUUCGGGGACUUCCGGUACGGCCGUUUCCAUAUAUCGGAAAACAAGACGCAAAUAGAACGUACAGGUUUUCCGCAAAACGAAGGAAAAGAAGGAAGAUGAAUAUAGGAUGUAUAUUAUGCACUGUAAAGUUCAAAAAUUUCGACACGGCACAAAUCGGACCUCUAGGCACGCUGCGACAUAUUGAGACUUUCGAGUAAUUUUAUCGGUGUAUAUUCGCUUUGGGGGAAAAAAAAAAGAAAAAAAAGAAUGAGAGAAAGAAAACAAUCAAAAAGAAAGGGUUAUUAUACGCGAAAUAUGGAUCGUAAUAAUGUCGUUAUAAUGUUUAUCUUGUGGUACGAAAGAGAAAAGAAUAUGAAAGUACUGCGAGUGGGUAACCGAGCUGGGCAACAUUUUCGAAUAAUUGAGAAAGCUUUUGAGGUUUUUUUUUUUAAUUUAUUACUCGAGAGAUCGUUUUUAAACGACAUUUUUUUUACGCGUGGGUGCAACGUUUCUUAUUUUAGCAACACGGACGAGGAAGGAGUGCGAUUUUUAUGCGGACGGGUACUAGUUCUUUAUUCUAUUUUCUAUCUCUUUUUUUUUAUUUGAAAAUGUUGCACGACUGGCUGACUAGAUGCCUUUUUUAACGAUACAACGCGCAUUCGUCGAAAACUUAUUUUGCCGAUUAUCCUGUACGGAGGACUUAGAUAUCGAAUAAUCGUGCCGAACGAAUUGUGAGCGAUAGACGAAGGACAAAGUCAAUGACAAAUUACAUUACGAUAACUUCAGAUUAACUUCAGAUUGUAAAGAUCUUUAAGGACUGUUAUAUUCACCCCUCGAUAAACCGGUCCAAUUAUGACUAAUCUGAGUCCCGAAAUUCUGGUGGAACGAGAACUGCCGUCUCAAAAUAUAGGAUCGAAAAAGAAUUGCUCUUUUAUUUUGGUCGAAUAAUUAGUGCGUCAUGCGGAAGGAACGUACAAUGAACCCAUGAAGUUGUUAAAAAGUUCCAUGUCUGAUAAAAACGGUGAAACGAAAGUUGACGGAAACAAUGAAAGGGUAACCAUGUUUCGAAACGGUGGUUCUCCAUGCUAGAAAACCAAAUCUGCAUACAUGUAUCUCUUUAGUAUAUUUUUCUAUUGCACGUUUAUCUUUCUCCCUGUAUCAAAACUGUAUACAUCUCACUUUCUCUCUAUCCAAGGCUUGAAUCUCUAAUUAGUUAUAUUAACCAGCUAAGUGGACUCUUCUCCACGACGAACUUCCAGUAUUUUUCACACAGGUGACCCCGCAAUCAUUUUUUUUUUAUAGAUACUUUUUACGAUACGUUGCCGCAUUCUUGAUUUACCUCGUAAUCAUGGAAUAUUUCGUUGUGCAUUUAAAAAGUGUAACAGUCCGGGCAAUUGGUACCGAUUUGCCCAGCACGUUUCCUGCGUUCGAUCCACCGGUUAAAAAACACCUGAUAACAUCAAACUGUAGAAUUAGCUGUAAAUUGUUCCCGUUUAAACGAGUCCAAGGCUCGUUGUAAAUGACAGGAAAAUGUGGUACCGAAUGCUCGGACACGUAUUGAUAAUAUUAUUUACAAUAUAUUUAUCCGGAAGGUCUCUUGAAUCAUGGCGGACCGAGAUAUGCGUGUUCCCGGUUAGAGUCGUACUUUUUGUUCAUUUUAUUGUGAAGUACACGCGGCAGCUUAAAGCAGUAUAUUAGGGGAGUUCUGGAGAGCUCGAAGUUUUGCUUUUAUUUUCGAGGCAGUUAUCCUUGUAUCUCGGUCCAUCUUGUUAUGCCGAUUCUUCCGCUGUAAAUUACAUUUAUUAGCGAUUAGUCACCAGCAUGUAGAUUAGAAAAGUUAAGAAGACUAAGCGAGCUGCCGAUGGCGCGGGCGAGGCUGUAUUUAUAUUUGUAGCCGCAAAAAGAAAAUGCGUUUCCGCGGCUGUUCGAGCCGCGCGGCCAACGGCGAACCGCCCUCGUUUAGGAUACAAUUUUUCUACGGAACAGAAGACGCAUUACGUCUCGGUCGGGCUCUAGGAGUUUUAUAUAUGAUUUUUACUUUUUCUCGACCCCUCCAAACGCAGCUGGAUGUAUCGCCAAUAGCGGAUAUUGGGUUGACUACGCCUUGCGUACCGUUUAAGCGACCUUUUUUAACGUUUGAUAAGUUUAACCAGAUGUCACCGAUAACCCUUGUAACGCGCAUUCCAGCAUACGUCCGUGUAACAUCCUCCCCACUCCUCAUGUCAAUAAAAAGAGGAAUAGGAUUAUGA